rnacentral:rRNA from 1 species
AGUGAACGCUGGCGGUAGGCCUAACACAUGCCAGUCGAACGGCAGCACAGCAAGAGCUUGCUCUUACGGGUGGCGAGUGGCGGACGGGUGAGGAAUACAUCGGAAUCUACUUUUUCGUGGGGGAUAACGUAGGGAAACUUACGCUAAUACCGCAUACGACCUACGGGUGAAAGCAGGGGAUCUUCGGACCUUGCGCGAUUGAAUGAGCCGAUGUCGGAUUAGCUAGUUGGCGGGGUAAAGGCCCACCAAGGCGACGAUCCGUAGCUGGUCUGAGAGGAUGAUCAGCCACACUGGAACUGAGACACGGUCCAGACUCCUACGGGAGGCAGCAGUGGGGAAUAUUGGACAAUGGGCGCAAGCCUGAUCCAGCCAUACCGCGUGGGUGAAGAAGGCCUUCGGGUUGUAAAGCCCUUUUGUUGGGAAAGAAAAGCAGCAGGUUAAUACCCCGCUGUUCUGACGGUACCCAAAGAAUAAGCACCGGCUAACUUCGUG